rnacentral:rRNA from 1 species
UGGGGAAUAUUGCGCAAUGGGGGGAACCCUGACGCAGUCAUGCCGCGUGAAUGAAGAAGGCCUUAGGGUUGUAAAGUUCUUUCGGUAUUGAGGAAGGUUGAUGUGUUAAUAGCACAUCAAAUUGACGUUAAAUACAGAAGAAGCACCGGCUAACUCCGUGCCAGCAGCCGCGGUAAUACGGAGGGUGCGAGCGUUAAUCGGAAUAACUGGGCGUAAAGGGCACGCAGGCGGUUAUUUAAGUGAGGUGUGAAAGCCCCGGGCUUAACCUGGGAAUUGCAUUUCAGACUGGGUAACUAGAGUACUUUAGGGAGGGGUAGAAUUCCACGUGUAGCGGUGAAAUGCGUAGAGAUGUGGAGGAAUACCGAAGGCGAAGGCAGCCCCUUGGGAAUGUACUGACGCUCAUGUGCGAAAGCGUGGGGAGCAAACAGGAUUAGAUACCCUGGUAGUCCACGCUGUAAACGCUGUCGAUUUGGGGGUUGGGGUUUAACUCUGGCGCCCGUAGCUAACGUGAUAAAUCGACCGCCUGGGGAGUACGGCCGCAAGGUUA